UCUUAUUUUGUUUUCUCAGAAUGAAGAAAUGACCUGGUUCAGAACAGAAAGAGAGACUUUCUUUUGAUUGGGUAGAGAGUGAUAGAAAAGUACCAGAGGCAAUGUGGGGAAAGCAACGAAACUUUAAACAGGUGGCAGGACCCUCACACUGAAAAGGAGGGAUGACCCAGAAGAGUGAAAUUAACAUUAGAUGUGCUGGAGCAGCUCAUCCAGGAAUAUAUGAAUUUGAAUAUGAGCAGAGGAAGAGGGUGAAAUAAAUUAGCAUUCUUCUGCUGUGACUUGAAAAGUGCCCAAGAGAGAGCAACUACAUAUUUCAGACAAAGAACUUAGGAAGAAGAAGGAUGUUUGUUCAUAGCAAAAGGAAACAUUAUGGAUGUAUUGUCCUGUAUUUAUGAAGAAUCAAAGAUUUUGUGAGUAGACCUUAGAUUGUCAAAAGCUACCUACUGUGCUUGUAUCUGUAUCUCUGUAUCUAUGUAUAAAACUUCAUGUAACUUUAUUAUAAAUUAUGUAUAAUUUCAAACUAUGUAUUCAAUUUUGUGUAAAUAAAUAAGACAAGUAAGUCACAGC
rnacentral:lncRNA from 1 species